UGCAUGGUGGCUUAGUGGUUAGCGUGUUUGCCUCACACCAAACAUGGGGUUGGGGGUUCGAUUCCCAGCUAUACCC